rfam:Desulfotomaculum aeronauticum DSM 10349 genome assembly, contig: EJ44DRAFT_scaffold00030.30
CGGGUAGUAUCCCAACGGGAACUGCACCUAGGUAGGUUGGCUUAAACAACAAAAUAGGUAAAUUCCGCUUGGAACCAGUUGGACCGAGACGGGGGG